AGAGUUUGAUCCUGGCUCAGAUUGAACGCUGGCGGCAUGCCUUACACAUGCAAGUCGAACGGUAACGCGGGGGCAACCCUGGCGACGAGUGGCGAACGGGUGAGUAAUACAUCGGAACAUAUCCAGUAGCGGGGGAUAACCUAUCGAAAGAUGGACUAAUACCGCAUACGAUCUACGGAUGAAAGCAGGGGACCGCAAGGCCUUGCACUAUUGGAGUGGCCGAUGUCGGAUUAGCUAGUUGGUGAGGUAAAGGCUUACCAAGGCGACGAUCCGUAGCUGGUCUGAGAGGACGAUCAGCCACACUGGAACUGAGACACGGUCCAGACUCCUACGGGAGGCAGCAGUGGGGAAUUUUGGACAAUGGGCGCAAGCCUGAUCCAGCCAUGCCGCGUGAGUGAAGAAGGCCUUCGGGUUGUAAAGCUCUUUCGGUGAAGACGAAACGGUUAGCGCUAAUAACGCUGACUAAUGACGGUACUCACAGAAGAAGCACCGGCUAACUACGUGCCAGCAGCCGCGGUAAUACGUAGGGUGCAGGCGUUAAUCGGAAUUACUGGGCGUAAAGCGUGCGCAGGCGGUUUGCUAAGACAGGUGUGAAAUCCCCGAGCUUAACUUGGGAAUUGCGCUUGUAACUGGCAAGCUAGAGUGUGGCAGAGGGGGGUGGAAUUCCACGUGUAGCAGUGAAAUGCGUAGAUAUGUGGAGGAACACCGAUGGCGAAGGCAGCCCCCUGGGUUAACACUGACGCUCAUGCACGAAAGCGUGGGGAGCAAACAGGAUUAGAUACCCUGGUAGUCCACGCCCUAAACUAUGUCAACUAGUUGUCGGGGAAGAAAUUCCUUGGUAACGAAGCUAACGCGUGAAGUUGACCGCCUGGGGAGUACGGCCGCAAGGUUAAAACUCAAAGGAAUUGACGGGGACCCGCACAAGCGGUGGAUUAUGUGGAUUAAUUCGAUGCAACGCGAAAAACCUUACCUACCCUUGACAUGCUAGGAAGCCCGCAGAGAUGUGGGUGUGCCCGAAAGGGAACCUAGACACAGGUGCUGCAUGGCUGUCGUCAGCUCGUGUCGUGAGAUGUUGGGUUAAGUCCCGCAACGAGCGCAACCCUUGCCAUUAGUUGCUACAUUCAGUUGGGCACUUUAAUGGGACCGCCGGUGACAAGCCGGAGGAAGGUGGGGAUGACGUCAAGUCCUCAUGGCCCUUAUGGGUAGGGCUUCACACGUAAUACAAUGGUCGGUACAGAGGGCUGCCAACCCGCAAGGGGGAGCUAAUCCCAGAAGCCGAUCGUAGUCCGGAUUGUAGUCUGCAACUCGACUGCAUGAAGCCGGAAUCGCUAGUAAUCGCGGAUCAGCAUGUCGCGGUGAAUACGUUCCCGGGUCUUGUACACACCGCCCGUCACACCAUGGGAGUGGGUUCCACCAGAAGUAGUUAGCCUAACCGCAAGGAGGGCGAUUACCACGGUGAGAUUCAUGACUGGGGUGAAGUCGUAACAAGGUA
rnacentral:rRNA from 1 species